GAAUCUGCCCUCAGGAGGGGGAUAACGGUUGGAAACGACCGCUAAUACCCCAUAUGCCGAGAAGUGAAAUGAAAUUCGCUUGAGGAUGAGCUCGCGUCUGAUUAGCUAGUUGGUAAGGUAAUGGCUUACCAAGGCAUUGAUCAGUAGCUGGUCUGAGAGGAUGAUCAGCCACACUGGGACUGAGACACGGCCCAGACUCCUACGGGAGGCAGCAGUGGGGAAUUUUCCGCAAUGGGCGCAAGCCUGACGGAGCAACGCCGCGUGAGGGAUGAAGGCCUCUGGGCUGUAAACCUCUUUUAUCAAGGAGGAAGAACUGACGGUACUUGAUGAAUAAGCCACGGCUAAUUCCGUGCCAGCAGCCGCGGUAAUACGGGAGUGGCAAGCGUUAUCCGGAAUUAUUGGGCGUAAAGCGUCCGCAGGCGGUUUUACAAGUCUGUCGUUAAAGCGUGGAGCUCAACUCCAUUUCAGCGAUGGAAACUGUAAGACUCGAGUGUGGUAGGGGCAGAGGGAAUUCCCGGUGUAGCGGUGGAAUGCGUAGAUAUCGGGAAGAACACCAGUGGCGAAAGCGCUCUGCUGGGCCAUAACUGACGCUCAUGGACGAAAGCCAGGGGAGCG
rnacentral:rRNA from 1 species